UACAGAGGCCUCGAGCGUUAGCCGGAAUCACUGGGCUUAAAGCGUGUGUAGGUGGAUGCCUAAGUACCUUGUGAAAUCCCACGGCUUAACCGUGGAACUGCUGGGUAUACUGGGCGUCUUGAGCCACUCAGGGGCUACCGGAACAAGCGGUGGAGCGGUGAAAUGCGUAGAUAUCGCUUGGAACGCCAAUGGUGAAAACAGGUAGCUGGGGGUGUGCUGACACUGAGACACGAAAGCCAGGGGAGCAAACGGG
rnacentral:rRNA from 1 species